rnacentral:rRNA from 1 species
GAUGAACGCUGACAGAAUGCUUAACACAUGCGAGUCGACUUGAAUUUGGGUUUUUAACUUAGGUUUGGGUGGCGGACGGGUGAGUAACGCGUAAAGAACUUGCCUCACAGCUAGGGACAACAUUUGGAAACGAAUGCUAAUACCUAAUAUUAUGAUAAUAGGGCAUCCUAUAAUUAUGAAAGCUAUAAGCGCUGUGAGAGAGCUUUGCGUCCCAUUAGCUAGUUGGAGAGGUAACGGCUCACCAAGGCGAUGAUGGGUAGCCGGUCUGAGAGGGUGAUCGGCCACAAGGGGACUGAGACACGGCCCUUACUCCUACGGGAGGCAGCAGUGGGGAAUAUUGGACAAUGGACCGAGAGUCUGAUCCAGCAAUUCUGUGUGCACGAUGAAGUUUUUCGGAAUGUAAAGUGCUUUCAGUUGGGAAGAAACAAAUGACGGUACCAACAGAAGAAGUGACGGCUAAAUACGUG